CCUCCGUCCCAUAAAUAAUGGUCUGUUUUCCUUUUUGGGCUGUCUCAUAUAUAAUGGUCUGUUUCCAUUUUGGGCUAAAAUUAACACUUAAUUAAAGCUUUUAAUUAUACCCAACAAAACCCUAAUUAUUUCAACCUACGCCUAAUCUUUUUCUUCCUUAAUUACCAAACUUUUCUACCUUUUUUUCCCAAAACAUUCUCUCUCUCUCUCUCACACACAGACACUCCUUUGUGCUUGUCGUCUCUCUCUGUCACUGGCGACAUCGCCGGUUCUCGCCGCCUCCGGCGCGGCGAGACCGGCGCCUCUUCUUCUCCCUCAUUCCUUUCUUUUCUCUUUACCUCAUUCUUUCUCUCUCUCUCUCGAUCUCUCUUUCUCUCUGCCCUCUCCCUCUCGAUCUCCCUUUCCCUCCUGUUCGCGGUGGCCGCUGUGAGCCGCGGCGGCGCAAGCAGCGCCGGCGGUCACCGCCGCCUCUGCUCCCUCUCUCACUCCGCCUCCAUGCCCUCACACAUCUGUCUCUCCCUCUAUCUUGAGAACAGUGAGAUCUCCACCCUUUGCAUCCUCCGCCUCCGCCUCCGCCUCUGCCUCCGCCUCCGCCUCCGUCUCCACCGCCUCCGAUUUCCUCCGUCUCUGCUUUCGAUCUCCUCCGCCUUUCAUCUCUCUCACCCUCUGUAUUUUGGGGUUUUCUUUGUGUAGAAUUUGGAGAAACGGUGGGAGAUGGUUUCGAUGGUGGAGGGAUUUAGGUGGCGGUGGUGGUGGCCGUUGCCGGAGGAAGGGUUGGGUUUGGGUGUUGGUAUUGCAGCAAUGGUGAUGGUGAUGGUGAUAGUUUAAGGAACUGGUGGUUUUAGUUUAAGCUUUCUUCAUCACAUUUCUGUUUUUUGGGGGUGGAGGUAAGGCGGCGGCGGCGGCGGCCGUAAUGCAGCAAUGGUGAUGGUGAGAUGCCGCCGGAAGGGGAGAGAGAGUGAGGAGAGAUGGGAGUAUUGUAUUAAAAAUAUUUAAAACUAAUUAACAAUAAAUUAAACAUGUGGUCCCUACAACUUUUCUCCCUAAUUCAACACUCCUUAAUUCCCGUGCCGAAAAGAAACGGGCCAUUAAUUGUGUGACGGAGGGAGUAGCAAAUUUUCAUAAAUUCAAAAAAAAAAAUGCCCCUAGAAUAAACGUGGACAAAAGUUUAGCUUACUAGUAGGAAUGAGAUUAUUCUUAACAGUCGUUAAGAAUGAGAUUAUUCUUAACAGUCGUUCUAAUUAGUAGCAUCAGUCAGUGAUACGACUAGUAUGAAUGAGGACUGUUCAUACCAAUCGUGAUGUGCAACGUUCGAGUACGAAGUCAGUUCGAAUCUUUCAACUCACGAUGGUGAAAAAUCAAUUUUGAUCUUUCAAACUCCAUAAUGAUGCGCAAAAAUUUGACGCUCAAAAGUUAGAUGGUGUAUUUCAAGCUCCGGAUCAAAAAAAUGCUCAAAAGUCAAAUAUAAUAUGGUCUUUACAGGUUCCAAAUGAAAUUAUGUUUAGAAGAUAG
rnacentral:lncRNA from 1 species